AGCGGCGGAUGGGUGAGUAACACGUGGGGAACCUGCCCCUAAGUCUGGGAUACCAUUUGGAAACAGGUGCUAAUACCGGAUAAUAAAGCAGAUCGCAUGAUCAGCUUUUGAAAGGCGGCGUAAGCUGUCGCUAAGGGAUGGCCCCGCGGUGCAUUAGCUAGUUGGUAAGGUAACGGCUUACCAAGGCGACGAUGCAUAGCCGAGUUGAGAGACUGAUCGGCCACAUUGGGACUGAGACACGGCCCAAACUCCUACGGGAGGCAGCAGUAGGGAAUCUUCCACAAUGGACGCAAGUCUGAUGGAGCAACGCCGCGUGAGUGAAGAAGGUUUUCGGAUCGUAAAGCUCUGUUGUUGGUGAAGAAGGAUAGAGGUAGUAACUGGCCUUUAUUUGACGGUAAUCAACCAGAAAGUCACGGCUAACUACGUGCCAGCAGCCGCGGUAAUACGUAGGUGGCAAGCGUUGUCCGGAUUUAUUGGGCGUAAAGCGAGCGCAGGCGGAAAAAUAAGUCUAAUGUGAAAGCCCUCGGCUUAACCGAGGAGCUGCAUCGGAAACUGUUUUUCUUGAGUGCAGAAGAGGAGAGUGGAACUCCAUGUGUAGCAGUGGAAUGCGUAGAUAUAUGGAAGAACACCAGUGGCGAAGGCGGCUCUCUGGUCUGCAACUGACGCUGAGGCUCGAAAGCAUGGGUAGCGAACAGGAUUAGAUACCCUGGUAGUCCAUGCCGUAAACGAUGAGUGCUAAGUGU
rnacentral:rRNA from 1 species